UAGGGAAUAUUGGACAAUGGGGGCAACCCUGAUCCAGCAAUGCCGCGUGAGUGAUGAAGGCCUUAGGGUUGUAAAGCUCUUUUACCCGGGAUGAUAAUGACAGUACCGGGAGAAUAAGCCCCGGCUAACUCCGUGCCAGCAGCCGCGGUAAUACGGAGGGGGCUAGCGUUGUUCGGAAUUACUGGGCGUAAAGCGCACGUAGGCGGCGAUUUAAGUCAGAGGUGAAAGCCCGGGGCUCAACCCCGGAAUAGCCUUUGAGACUGGAUUGCUUGAACAUCGGAGAGGUGAGUGGAAUUCCGAGUGUAGAGGUGAAAUUCGUAGAUAUUCGGAAGAACACCAGUGGCGAAGGCGGCUCACUGGACGAUUGUUGACGCUGAGGUGCGAAAGCGUGGGGAGCAAACAGG
rnacentral:rRNA from 1 species